rnacentral:rRNA from 1 species
GCCAGACUCCUACGGGAGGCAGCAGUAGGGAAUUUUGCGCAAUGGGGGAAACCCUGACGCAGCAACGCCGCGUGAUUGAUGAAGCCCUUCGGGGUGUAAAGAUCUUUCAGUGGGGACGAAACUUGACGGUACCCACAGAGGAAGCCCCGGCUAACUACGUGCCAGCAGCCGCGGUAAUACGUAGGGGGCAAGCGUUAUCCGGAUUUACUGGGUGUAAAGGGAGCGUAGACGGCAUAGCAAGUCUGAAGUGAAAGCCCAAGGCUCAACCAUGGGACUGCUUUGGAAACUGUUAAGCUAGAGUGCUGGAGAGGUAAGCGGAAUUCCUAGUGUAGCGGUGAAAUGCGUAGAUAUUAGGAAGAACACCAGUGGCGAAGGCGGCUUACUGGACAGUAACUGACGUUGAGGCUCGAAAGCGUGGGGAGCAAACAGGAUUAGAUACCCCCGUA